GUCGAAUGCUUAACCGACUAAGCCACCCAGGCGCCCCGGAAAAAUUUUUCAGAUGUUCUCACCAACUGUGAAUUUUAGAUCAACCAAAUGAUCUGAAAGAAAGAGAAAGCAGGGGGAGGAAAUCCUGUGAAGAAUACCCUUUAUGAGCUUGAUAGGAGCCUGAGGCUAAUGAUAAGAUUUCUUAAUUUGUGGACUGAAGGCACCACAGUUUUAGAAAUUGUGCGGAGAAUAAGCACACAUCUAAUGAAAACAUUCGAGUGAAUUUUGGG